GCAAGUCACUAAGUCCAGCCCACAAUCAAGGGAAGAUGAAUUAGGAUCCACCAUUUAAAGAGAAUAAUGCUGAAAAAUUUUGUGACAUAUUUCAAAACCAUCGCUCACCAGUAUUAGAAACCUUAAAGAGCAGUAAGGAAUGCCAAGUGUCCUCAUUAAGUUUUGGUAACAAGGUUUUCCUGGCAAAAUUAAAAUCACUUUAGGAUGUGGUCUCUCUUUUCUCAUUCUCUCAUAAACUCCUGGAAUAUUUUGUGCAAGCAGAGAGAAAGCAAGAGUCAACCGUUUAUGAGACCAGAUGGAUAUCCCGUCUCUAUUUCAUUCCCUCUUUGUUCUGCUACCCUUUUCAAAGUUAUUAAAAAUCUCAUCUAACUA